rnacentral:lncRNA from 1 species
UUUUUUUAAUUUUUUUUAUAUUGCAAAAAUAACUUUUUAUAUACUUUGUAAUUUACAUUUUUAACCCUCUUUUAUUUAACUAACCUAGAUUUCUUACUUUCCCAUUUUCAAUUUCACUCCCUCCCUCACAGUAACACAGCACCUCCAUCUUUUCACUCUCUCCCUCACGGUAACACAACACCCCCACCUUCCAGAUUCGUUUCCCUUCACUCUCAUUUUAAUUUUUUUUAACCUCUAACUCCCAACUCUUUUGUUUGUGCAUUUUGCGGUGGUGCGGC